GAUCUGCUCCUAGGCAGCCGCGGUCCUCAGUCCCAACUGGCCGUAUUGCAUCUGGGGCUAUAACACUCACCGAGGUGAGCCACCUUCCCCAAACCUUUAUCCGACCGUCAAAACUGAUGCUGGCCUCCACGCACAGACUAUUGACCCAAGCAGAAGCAAGGAUAGUCUGCGCAGGAAGUCUGAUCUCAAGCGCUUCCCUUUCAACAAUUUCACGUACUGUUUAACUCUCUUUUCAAAGUUCUUUUCAUCUUUCGAUCACUCUACUUGUUCGCUAUCGGUCUCUGGCCAAUAUUUAGCUUUAGAAGAAAUUUACCUCCCAUUUAGAGCUGCAUUCCCAAACAACUCGACUCUUCGAAAACGGUUCACAUAGCAACAGACACCUGAUCAUUCACGGGAUUCUCACCCUCCAUGACGCCGCGUUCCAGCGGACUUGAACCAGGGCUGCCACCGAACUCGCCUCUAGAAAUUACAACUCGGACUGUAAAACAGCCAGAUUACAAAUUUGAGCUAUGCCUGCUUCGCUCGCCGCUACUGAAGGCAUCCUAGUUAGUUUCUUUUCCUCCGCUUUUAAAAUUUGAAA
rnacentral:rRNA from 1 species